CUGGAAGAGCACCGCACGUCGC
rnacentral:siRNA from 1 species